UACGGGGGGAGCAAGCGUUGUUCGGAUUUACUGGGCGUAAAGGGCGUGUAGGCGGCCACCUCAAGUCAGUUGUGAAAUCUCUGGGCUUAACCCAGAAAGGUCAACUGAUACUGCGGGGCUAGAGUGCAGAAGGGGCAACUGGAAUUCUCGGUGUAGCGGUGAAAUGCGUAGAUAUCGAGAGGAACACCUGCGGCGAAGGCGGGUUGCUGGGCUGACACUGACGCUGAACUGCGAAAGCUAGGGGAGCGAACGGG
rnacentral:rRNA from 1 species